UACGAAGGGGGCGAGCGUUUGUUCGGAUUUACUGGGCGUAAAGAGCGCGCAGGCGGUCGUUCAAGUCGCGUGUGAAAGCCCCCGGCUCAACUGGGGAGGGUCACGCGAUACUGAUCGACUCGAAGGCAGGAGAGGGUAGUGGAAUUCCCGGUGUAGUGGUGAAAUGCGUAGAUAUCGGGAGGAACACCAGUGGCGAAGGCGACUACCUGGCCUGUUCUUGACGCUGAGGCGCGAAAGCUAGGGGAGCAAACGGGG
rnacentral:rRNA from 1 species